AAAUUAAAAGUUAAAACAAAAUCACUUCCAAAAUCCCUAACUAAGCCCGUGUCCUCCCUCCUCCCUUUUUUUCCCAAUUCGAAAAUCUUCACCUCCGGUCCACCCUCCUCCACCGAUCCACCUCUGGUCCUCCACGGCUGACGGCUCCACCCAAUUCCAAAAUCAGAGUACCUUGAUUUGAGCUCUGCCUCUGCGAAUCUUUCUAAAGCAAUUGAUUGGGUACAGGAAAUGAUAUUCAACCUACCCAUCGAUUAGUUUCCUUCUGCUUGAUGGACUCAGCUUUAGCUGCUUGAAGUUUGUUGCAAAGGUUACAACUUGCUAAACGCAUCAGAAUUUCAGUUUUUACUUUUUCCGUGUUUCAUCAUGUAUUUAGUGGCACUGCUGCAGAUUUGGCAAUAUUUUAGCUUCAAAUUUCUUUUUCUUCAUUUCCUUCUUAACAAAUGAAAAGAAAAGGAGAAAGAAAUGCAGAAAAAGUAAACAAAAACAGAUUUGGUACCAUUUUAAAAGUUAAUAUUCAUGGCCUAUGUGUUACCCUAAAUGUCUAGUUCAGGAUGUCAUCAGUUUCUACUCUCUGCCUUCACCAAUGAGCGAGUACCUGAAGAUGUAUAAAAUAGGGAACACAAUAAUAUCAUGCUGGUUUGUAAAGCCUUCUUUGUCCAGAAAAUCCUGCUUAGUUGCCCAAAGCAGCACAUUAGCUCUCUCUAUGUGUCUCUCUCUCUCUCACCCACGCACAUAUGUUUCCAUGAGCCUGCAAAUUCGUAUCUUGCAAACUGAUAUCACCCUUCUUUCGACUCAUGCUAUUUACUUGGACUUUUACUUAUGUUUUUUAUUAUGAUCUUUUUGUAUUAUUUUUGUUGUUUAUUUGGAAUCAUGUUGUUUA